rnacentral:rRNA from 1 species
AGAGUUUGAUCCUGGCUCAGAGCGAACGCUGGCGGCAGGCUUAACACAUGCAAGUCGAGCGGGCGUAGCAAUACGUCAGCGGCAGACGGGUGAGUAACGCGUGGGAACGUACCUUUUGGUUCGGAACAACCCAGGGAAACUUGGGCUAAUACCGGAUAAGCCCUUACGGGGAAAGAUUUAUCGCCGAAAGAUCGGCCCGCGUCUGAUUAGCUAGUUGGUGAGGUAACGGCUCACCAAGGCGACGAUCAGUAGCUGGUCUGAGAGGAUGAUCAGCCACAUUGGGACUGAGACACGGCCCAAACUCCUACGGGAGGCAGCAGUGGGGAAUAUUGGACAAUGGGCGCAAGCCUGAUCCAGCCAUGCCGCGUGAGUGAUGAAGGCCCUAGGGUUGUAAAGCUCUUUUGUGCGGGAAGAUAAUGACGGUACCGCAAGAAUAAGCCCCGGCUAACUUCGUGCCAGCAGCCGCGGUAAUACGAAGGGGGCUAGCGUUGCUCGGAAUCACUGGGCGUAAAGGGUGCGUAGGCGGGUCUUUAAGUCAGGGGUGAAAUCCUGGAGCUCAACUCCAGAACUGCCUUUGAUACUGAAGAUCUUGAGUUCGGGAGAGGUGAGUGGAACUGCGAGUGUAGAGGUGAAAUUCGUAGAUAUUCGCAAGAACACCAGUGGCGAAGGCGGCUCACUGGCCCGAUACUGACGCUGAGGCACGAAAGCGUGGGGAGCAAACAGGAUUAGAUACCCCAGUAGUCC